AACCAUAGAAACCUGCGGAGUACCUGCGGAGGGAUCAUUACAGAGUUGCAAAACUCCCUAAACCAUUGUGAACGUUACCUAAACCGUUGCUUCGGCGGGCGGCCCGGGUCCCUCCCGGCGCCCAUCGGCCCUCGCGGGCGCCCGCCGGAGGUAAACCAAACUAUUGCAUUGUAUGGCCUCUCUGAGUCUUCUGUACUGAAUAAGUCAAAACUUUCAACAACGGAUCUCAGAUCGGAAGAG
rnacentral:misc_RNA from 1 species